rnacentral:rRNA from 1 species
GACGAACGCUGGCGGCGUGCCUAAUACAUGCAAGUAGAACGCUGAAGGAGGAGCUUGCUUCUCUGGAUGAGUUGCGAACGGGUGAGUAACGCGUAGGUAACCUGCCUGGUAGCGGGGGAUAACUAUUGGAAACGAUAGCUAAUACCGCAUAAGAGUAGAUGUCGCAUGACAUUUGCUUAAAAGGUGCAAUUGCAUCGCUACCAGAUGGACCUGCGUUGUAUUAGCUAGUUGGUGAGGUAACGGCUCACCAAGGCAACGAUACAUAGCCGACCUGAGAGGGUGAUCGGCCACACUGGGACUGAGACACGGCCCAGACUCCUACGGGAGGCAGCAGUAGGGAAUCUUCGGCAAUGGACGGAAGUCUGACCGAGCAACGCCGCGUGAGUGAAGAAGGUUUUCGGAUCGUAAAGCUCUGUUGUAAGAGAAGAACGAGUGUGAGAGUGGAAAGUUCACACUGUGACGGUAUCUUACCAGAAAGGGACGGCUAACUACGUG